rnacentral:rRNA from 1 species
AAUAGAUACCCUGGUAGUCCACGCCCUAAACGAUGUCUACUAGUUGUUGGGUCUUAAUUGACUUAGUAACGCAGCUAACGCGUGAAGUAGACCGCCUGGGGAGUACGGUCGCAAGAUUAAAAUUCAAAGGAAUUGACGGGGACCCGCACAAGCGGUGGAUGAUGUGGAUUAAUUCGAUGCAACGCGAAAAACCUUACCUACCCUUGACAUGUCAGGAAUCCUUGAGAGAUUGAGGAGUGCCCGAAAGGGAACCUGAACACAGGUGCUGCAUGGCUGUCGUCAGCUCGUGUCGUGAGAUGUUGGGUUAAGUCCCGCAACGAGCGCAACCCUUGUCAUUAGUUGCUACGCAAGAGCACUCUAAUGAGACUGCCGGUGACAAACCGGAGGAAGGUGGGGAUGACGUCAAGUCCUCAUGGCCCUUAUGGGUAGGGCUUCACACGUCAUACAAUGGUACAUACAGAGGGCCGCCAACCCGCGAGGGGGAGCUAAUCCCAGAAAGUGUAUCGUAGUCCGGAUUGUAGUCUGCAACUCGA